rnacentral:rRNA from 1 species
CGGUGUGUUUAAUACAUGCAAGUCGAACGCGAUCUUCGGAUCGAGUGGCGAACGGGUGAGUAACGUGUUGGUAGCUGCCCCCUACUCAGGGAUAACCCAUGGAAACGUGGGCUAAUACCGGAUAGUCCCGCAAGGGUAAAGAUUUAUCGGUAGGGGAGGUGCCUGCAUAGUAUCAGCUUGUUGGUAAGGUAACGGCUUACCAAGGCUAUGACGCUUAGCUGGUCUGAGAGGAUGAUCAGCCACACUGGAACUGAGACACGGUCCAGACUCC